AGUGAACGCUGGCGGUAGGCCUAACACAUGCAAGUCGAACGGCAGCACAGUAAGAGCUUGCUCUUACGGGUGGCGAGUGGCGGACGGGUGAGGAAUACAUCGGAAUCUACUUUUUCGUGGGGGAUAACGUAGGGAAACUUACGCUAAUACCGCAUACGACCUACGGGUGAAAGCAGGGGAUCUUCGGAUCUUGCGCGAUUGUAUGAGCCGAUGUCGGAUUAGCUAGUUGGCGGGGUAAAGGCCCACCAAGGCGACGAUCCGUAGCUGGUCUGAGAGGAUGAUCAGCCACACUGGAACUGAGACACGGUCCAGACUCCUACGGGAGGCAGCAGUGGGGAAUAUUGGACAAUGGGCGCAAGCCUGAUCCAGCCAUACCGCGUGGGUGAAGAAGGCCUUCGGGUUGUAAAGCCCUUUUGUUGGGAAAGAAAAGCAGCAGGUUAAUACCCCGCUAUUCUGACGGUACCCAAAGAAUAAGCACCGGCUAACUUCGUG
rnacentral:rRNA from 1 species